UGAUGCGUCCUGUAAACUGAAAAAGAAUAAUGUCUUAGAUUAUCCAUUUUUUAAGUCCCUACUAUGGAAGCUUCCUAAAAUUGCUUCUGCUUUCCAAAACUGCUAUUGCUCUGUAAUGUGUUCAUCUUUUCAGUAGUAAAAUUCUGUGCACCAGAGUUUAUUUUUCAGCCUUUGGGAUUCAUUUUAUUUUAUGUUUUUACUUAGAAAAGUUCACAAUUAAAAAAAAAAAAAGGAGGAGUUCCCAUUGUGGCUCAGUGGUAAUGGACCCAACUAUUAUCCAUGAGGACGUGGGUUCAAUCCCUGGCCCCCAUCUGUGGGUUAAAGAUCCGGUGUUGCCUUGAGCUGUGGUGCAGGAUGCAGACGCAGUUUGGAUCUGGUAUUGCUGUGGCUGUGGGGUAGGCUGUACCACAGGCUGCAGCUCCGAUUUGAUCUCUAGCUUGGGAAACCCCAGCCCUAAAAAGAAAAAAAAAAAAAAAUGGAGACACAUACAGUCAAAAUUUAAAAUUUUUGUUUGGUUGCAGUUCCUAUUUUUUUUUUAAUCCUGCUUUGGAUUAUUGCUGCCACCCUGCAUUCCUCUCACAAGGAAGAUAGAAUUCAACAAAAUAAAGCAAAUAAAGGUUAAAUAUGAAUAUUUUUGAUAUGGUUUACUAAACUACCAAGCAAAAGGUAUCUCUUAGGCAUUCAACAGAAGUAAACAUAUUAGUAAAUGGCCAAAUGAAUAAAUGCCAUUUUUCUAAAUGACAAUUUCCAUUGAAAACAAGAGAUUAAAUGACUCUUCCUCAAAGCACAUGAAAUAUCCUGUUAAAUUUAAAUAAAUUUUUAUUGAACUAUAGUUGAUUUACAAUGUUGUGUUAGUACAGGAAAGUGAUUCGGUUGUGUGCAUGUGUCACACAACACACAUACACAUAGUGCUCUUUUUUAGAUUAUUUUCCCUUGUAGGUUAUUUCAAAAUAGUGAGUAUUGUUUCCUAUGCUAUUCCUGUUGAGUUUUGAUCUUAAAAAAAAACUCAGAUUACGCUUCGUAUAUAAGAAAUGGUACACAUUUGAAAUCAAAGGAUACCCUGGCUUAUAGCUAAGGGCACCUCAGGUCCUAAAACUAAUAGAGGUGAGGGUACAAAUCCAUCUGGCAUCAGAGAUUUUGUUUUAACCUGGACAUGUCAUAAGGAUUCUGCUCUACUCUAGAGUGAUUCCUGGAGGAGCAGGAAGGCAUAAAUGUCACUGAACAACCUCAGAAGCAAGAACCUCCUUGCCUGAAGAGUAACCUGGCCUCUGUGUAGAAAUUCCAUCUUGCCGUGUUACCAAAUGACAGAAAAUAUCCCAUUUCAUCUCUCCAUGUUCAUCAAAACCUGAAUUUAAGUUGCACUUUAGAGACAAAUAUCCUUUAAAGUGUUCUUUCUUUGGAUGGAUAAAGAAUAAAUAAUGCAAGUAAAUGGAAAUGAAAAAAAAAUGUUAAACAAUGGCAGGCAUUGGCUGUAACUGGUGAAUGGUUAUUGUUCUGUUUUAGAGUGAUAAAGCCCUGAAUUUAAUGAGUCCACUUUGUUACAUGUAUAAAUAUGGACAAAUCAUGUAAAGUAAUUACCAUCUGGCAGUGUACUGUGAAGAGCUAGUAAGUUAAUUUUAAAAUAUAUUUGAUAAUUUAAUAUAUUUAAUGUAUUUUAAAGAUCCUAGAGCAUUAUGGGUACCUAGUAGUUGGCAACUAAUGGGUCCUUUAAGCUCUUACAUUGAAAGACAUAUAGGUUGACUAAAGUUAUCUCAAGUAUUGGAGAAAUUAUUUUGAGGAUAUAUGUGGAUUAAGGAAGCUAGGAAUUCUGAUCCUGCAGCAGAUAUUUAUGGAAACACAGUAAUAGGACACUUCUAGAUCUCAGCUUAGAAACUAGGUAAGGCUAAAGUAGUGCUAGUCCCCAAUUCUUUUUAGUAAGCCAGAGGAGUGAACCUGUUACUGUGACUAAUUCUACUCCACUUCUGUAUCUACCACUCUUGUUUCUAGCAACCAAUCACCUUAUUCUCUGUUUAACAUUUUUCAACCUUGAACAUGCACUUAUAGUAUCUAGUUAUACACAAAUGUCCUGACUUAUUAAAAAGGCAAGGCACAGAUUAUCUGAAUGUAAAAAAUGAAAAAAAAAUAAAGUUCAAGUGUAAUCAGCAGAAAACAUGUCCCUUUAUCUAUGGAUUCUACUAUUGGCUAAGUGGCUCUUUCUCUGUAUCCUAGUUGAACCCUUAAGAAAAGAUCUGAUUGAUUUAAUUAAUGAGUAGGAAACCUUUUAAGCCAAGCUGUUCCACUAGACUACAUCACAGGGCUACAUUGCCCUAUAUCUGGGGAUGGGAUGAGGGCUGAGAUCAGAUGGCAUUUAUCAUGACCAUUUGUGCUGAAGGCACUUCCUAGCAAUGACUCUACAUGUAACACACACUUUUAGGCUUAGCAUUUUAUACUUUUUGACUCAUGAAGGAUGGGAGAGAACUAAUUCAGUAAAAAGAUCUAAUUUGAUGAUAGAACAAACACAUUUAUUUUUCCGAUAUCCUUAAGGUUAAAUAGUUGUUGCUAAUCUCUUAUGAUUUUUAUACCCAUGCGGAGAUUCAAGUAACUAUAAAAGAGUCUGACAGACCCUCUCUCAAAGGGCUUCCCAGGAGAGGUUUUCCACAGCCCUGAGUCUGGACUCCACAGAUUAAAUUUGAGUGUUUACUAAGGAGACUAUUUCCCUUGUGAAAGGAGUUAAAGGGCCCAAGUUUAAACAAGUCUUAUUACAUAAAAGAAAACUCAGUGAUCAAUUUACAAUAAAGAAAUCACUCUCAGCCUAUUUUUUGGCAUGUUUUGAACUUUUUUUUUUUUUUUACUGUGGAAACGGUAAAUAGAAAACUAAAUUAAACCUUUGUUUUGCUUGAUGAAUUUGAAAUUAAGAAAUGCGUGUAGUUUAAACAUUUGUCCAUCUACUUACAGGGAUACACCUCCUGAAAUUUCCUUGAGUCUUCAGACCAGAAUCUUUUUUCCUUUGGAUUGAGACUAGGCAUCUCUAUUAUUUGCCUGUAAAACUCUAUUAUUUCUAGGCUUCUUUUGCUGAAUACCUCUCAUCCUGUUGGGCAUGUUCUGCAUUUUUUAUUUUAGUGUGUCAAAUUAAGGCAUAAUCUUGUUUGACAACUAUUCUAUCUUUCUAAUGGCUCUGCUCAUUUAUUAAUUUAUACAGUCACAAACUUACUUAUUCUGCACCUGCUAUGUGACUGGCACUAUAAAAGUCUUUGGGAUAUAAGAGAGAACACAGAAAGUGUUGUUUUUGCCAUCUUGGUCUUUAGGGUCCCCUAGGAGCAGACAGACAAAAACUGAAUUAAUUGCUUCAUCCCUCACUGUAUUACAUGAUAAUAGUAAUGUAAUCUAUUUAUGGGUUAUAUGUUACUGAACUUAAUCUUCACACGUUAGAGUGUGUAAUCCUGAAUCAUCCUGCACACAUUUCUCUUAAAAAGUUCUAUCAAGUCAAUGUAAUAAAAUGUUGUAGUCAUUACAUGAAAAUACAUUUAAAAAUUGUCCAAGAAAGGUAGUUUUCAAUUGACCUAAGACAGCACUUUUCCAUUAUUUGACUUUUUCAUAAAAGGUUGAUCUUAGAAUUUAACCCUCAGAAGGCUGCAAUGAACUGAAACUUGACUAUAUAUCACAAAAGCAAUCUGAAUUUGUCAUACUGUAAUUACACUGUAUCUUUUCAUGUCGAAUAGCUAGCCAGGUGUCACUCCAAAACACAGUAAGGGGGUGAUUCAUUAAAUAACACAGACACUCUUCAGAGCAUAAUCUAUGUCUAUAUUAAGAGUCUGCAAGAACUGAUAACUUACCUCAAUUUAUACUGUUUCGUGAAAAAUCAAAUAUUCCACAUUGAAAGCAUUAGCAAGUAGCAUUUCCACGUAUUAGUAGUGCUUUUCCAUCAGAAACUAUAAGCAUUUUAUUUUUAUUUGUUUGUUUGUUUAUUUAUUUAUUUUUGUCUUUUUGCCAUUUUCUUGGGCCACUCCCACGGCGCAUGGAGGUUCCCAGGCUAGGGAUAGAAUUGGAGCUGU
rnacentral:lncRNA from 1 species